GACGAACGCUGGCGGCGUGCUUAACACAUGCAAGUCGAACGGGUCUGCCCUGUGUUUUGCGGGGUGGGUCAGUGGCGAACGGGGGAGUAACACGUGAGUAACCUGCCCCUCACUUCUGGAUAACCGCUGGAAAGGGGGGCUAAUACGGGGUGUUCUGGCUGUGCCGCAUGGUGUGGCUGGGAAAGAUGCACUUUUGGGGAGUUUUGGAGGGGGAUGGGCUGGCGGCGUAUCAGCUUGAUGGUGGGGUGAUGGCCUGCCAAGGCUUUGACGGGUCGCCGGCGUGAGAGGGUCGGCGGUCAUACUGCGACUGCGCUACCGCCCAUACUCCUGCGGGCGGCAGCAGUGGGUGGUACUCCACAAUCGGCGGCAGCCUGAUGCAGCGACGUCGCGUGAGGGAUGGAGGCCUUCGGGUUGUGCACCUCUUUCGCCGGUGAAGAAGGUCCUGCUCUUUGUGGUGGGGUUGACCGUAGCCGGGUUAUGAAGCGCCGGCUAACUACGUG
rnacentral:rRNA from 1 species